GUGCCAGCAGCCGCGGUAAAACGUAGGACGCGAGCGUUAUCCGGAUUUACUGGGCGUAAAGCGCAUGCAGGCGGCCUUGUAAGUCGGAUGUGACAUCUCCCGGCUCAACUGGGAGGCGUCAUUCGAUACUGCAAGGCUUGAGGGCAGGAGAGGGGAGUGGAAUUCCCGGUGUAGUGGUGAAAUGCGUAGACAUCGGGAGGAACACCAGUGGCGAAGGCGGCUCCCUGGCCUGUACCUGACGCUAAGAUGCGAAAGCGUGGGGAGCGAACGGGAUUAGAAACCCCGGUAGUCCACGCCGUAAACGAUGCGGACUAGGUGUGGGAGGUAUUGACCCCUUCCGUGCCGUAGCUAACGCGUUAAGUCCGCCGCCUGGGGAGUACGGCCGCAAGGCUAAAACUCAAAGGAAUUGACGGGG
rnacentral:rRNA from 1 species